rnacentral:rRNA from 1 species
UACGUAGGGGGCUAGCGUUGUCCGGAUUUAUUGGGCGUAGAGAGCGUGUAGGCGGCCAUGUAGGUCCGGUGUGAAAACUCGAGGCUUAACCUCGAGAUGUCAUCGGAAACCAUUUGGCUAGAGUCCGGAAGAGGAGAGUGGAAUUCCUGGUGUAGCGGUGAAAUGCGCAGAUAUCAGGAAGAACACCAAUGGCGAAAGCAGCUCUCUGGGACGGUACUGACGCUGAGACGCGAAAGCGUGGGGAGCGAACAGG